rnacentral:lncRNA from 1 species
UGAGAUAUCUUUAGUGAUAGAUCAUCGAUCGAUAAAUAUUAUUUUUAGCGAUAGACAUCUAAUGCUAAUGCAAUGUUGUGGUACGGUGUAGUGUGUUGUGCAGUACGUAAGAGACAACGCUAGGAGAGCCAACUUAUACUAAGAAUUAAGGUCACAUUAUUUGGUUAGGCCUAGCCUGGCUCCAGUUCCACCAUUCAAAUAGCAUUGUAGCAGAGCUAGAGAAGUCCAAAGGUAUUAGCUUGAAGCUCCUACCAUCGAUCGGUUCAUUAUUAGCGAAGCCAGGACCUUUCGAAUUGUGUUGUAUAGUGUUCAAUAUAUAGUGCAAGAGGCUGAAAACCUGGAGCCAUCGGAGCUCAACCAAAACUAUCCCAAUUAUUUGCUUCCACUUUGCACAUUUGAAUCUUUAUACAUACUCAAGGAUUAGAACACAUGCACCCACUUUUACAUGAUUGGCAUAAAUAAAUUUGAAUUGGUUCAACUAGGAUGUUGACUCGCACUGCUUGGCUACUGUAAAACACAGGCACAUCAGAGCCCAUGCCUCCAAAAUUUGUGAUUAUUGUGCCGUAGAACAGCAUUUGCUACU